GACGGAGGCCCCGAGCGUUGUUCGGAAUCAUUGGGCUUAAAGCGCGUGUAGGCGGGCCGGUAAGUGCUUUGUGAAAUCCCCGGGCUCAACCCGGGAAUUGCUUGGCAUACUGUCGGUCUUGAGGCAGGUAUGGGUCACUGGAACCUUAGGUGUAGCGGUGAAAUGCGUAGAUAUCUAAGGGAACGCCGGUGGCGAAAGCGGGUGACUGGGCCUGUCCUGACGCUGAGACGCGAAAGCGUAGGGAGCAAACGGGAUUAGAUACC
rnacentral:rRNA from 1 species